rnacentral:rRNA from 1 species
AGAGUUUGAUCAUGGCUCAGGACGAACGCUGGCGGCGUGCUUAACACAUGCAAGUCGAGCGGUAAGGCCCUUUCGGGGGUACACGAGCGGCGAACGGGUGAGUAACACGUGAGCAAUCUGCCCUUCACUUUUGGGAUAACCACCGGAAACGGUGGCUAAUACCGAAUACGACCGCCCCGGGCAUCUGGUGGUGGUGGAAAGUUCUGGCGGUGGAGGAUGAGCUCGCGGCCUAUCAGCUUUGUUGGUGGGGUAAUGGCCUACCAAGGCGACGACGGGUAGCCGGCCUGAGAGGGUGACCGGCCACACUGGGACUGAGACACGGCCCAGACUCCUACGGGAGGCAGCAGUGGGGAAUAUUGGACAAUGGGCGAAAGCCUGAUCCAGCAACGCCGCGUGAGGGAUGACGGCCUUCGGGUUGUAAACCUCUUUCAGUAGGGACGAAGCUAACGUGACGGUACCUACAGAAGAAGCACCGGCCAACUACGUGCCAGCAGCCGCGGUAAUACGUAGGGUGCGAGCGUUGUCCGGAAUUAUUGGGCGUAAAGGGCUCGUAGGCGGUUUGUCACGUCGGAAGUGAAAACUCGGGGCUUAACCCCGAGCCUGCUUCCGAUACGGGCUGACUAGAGGUAUGCAGGGGAGAACGGAAUUCCUGGUGUAGCGGUGAAAUGCGCAGAUAUCAGGAGGAACACCGGUGGCGAAGGCGGUUCUCUGGGCAUUACCUGACGCUGAGGAGCGAAAGUGUGGGGAGCGAACAGGAUUAGAUACCCUGGUAGUCCACACCGUAAACGUUGGGCGCUAGGUGUGGGACUCAUUCCACGAGUUCCGUGCCGCAGCUAACGCAUUAAGCGCCCCGCCUGGGGAGUACGGCCGCAAGGCUAAAACUCAAAUGAAUUGACGG